AUACGGAGGUAGCAAGCGUUAUUCGGAAUCACUGGGCGUAAAGGACGCGUAGGCGGGUUUGUAAGUCAGGUGUGAAAUCCUACAGCUCAACUGUAGAACUGCACUUGAAACUACAGACCUGGAGUAUGGAAGGGGCAGAUGGAAUUAGUGGUGUAGGGGUAAAAUCCGUAGAUAUCACUAGGAAUACCGAAAGCGAAGGCGAUCUGCUGGGACAUUACUGACGCUGAGGCGUGAAAGCGUGGGGAGCAAACAGGAUUAGAAACCCCGGUAGUCC
rnacentral:rRNA from 1 species